rnacentral:ncRNA from 1 species
CUCUUCAGGGCAGGGUGAAAUUCCCGAUCGGCGGUAAAGUCCGCAAGCCUUUGGGCAUGAACCGUUGCAAUUACGGUACCGACAGUAUAGUCUGGAUGGAAGAAGACU